AUACUUACUUGAACAGGGUCAAUGGGCGAUCAUUAAGGCCCAUGGCCUAGGUUGAUGACCUUCACUGCACUUUGGAGGGGCGACCGCCUAAGGUCGGCCCAAGUGAUUGAGCUUAUGUCAUAAUUUGUGGUAGAGGGGGCCAGAGUUUGUGCGGCCCCUAC